GAAAGAGAGCCAGGAACAACAACGUCACAUUAGAAAGGACCAAACACGACAACAUUAUUCAGGAAAAAGCACGAGAGCAGUCAGCAGAGAGUCUGCAGGGCUGCGCCUUUUAGACUUAAAGACGUGAAAAAUGUGACAGCCUGACUUCCUGUUUCCUUUUUACAUCAAAAAUUAAGAUACAAAGACGCACUGAUAAAACAUGGGGAUGCCAUCAACUGAGAGUUUAUGAAAACUUAAACUGGCUCAUCAGCAGAAGACCAGCACUCAUUUUCUGAACUAGCGUUUUCUUGUAAUGGAGCAUUUAAUACUGUAGUGGUUUCAGCAGGCCAUUCCAAACGUCCAUUUUCCUAGCAACGUUUUCCCGUUCUUCCUCAAGAUGCUGAGGUGUUUUCAUGCCAGAAGAAGAUAAAUAAUUUCUCCAGAAAGUUCUGGGUCUAAAUGCCAGAAGUAAAAUGCACAACAUGUUUGUGUUUUCAGACUUGCGUCCGUGGUGAUCUAUAGGGCAGCACUUCAUGAGAUUUCACGUGUUUCCUUGGAGGAGACGCCACAUUAAAGUCCGACCCCAACAAAACUUAAGUAAUGUAAAAGACUGAUUUAAAAAUCUGUGCUUCGGUUUUAGCUAUCGAGGCACUUUUGCUUGGAUCUACGCCCGAGACUGAAUAGUUCAAAUGCAUUUUUUAUUGUUUUAUUCUAUUAAAGUUAAUUACUGUUGUUAUUCUGCAUAUUUUGUGCUUUUCUGUUUUAACAAAGCUUUGACACACCAUCUCAGAGCUAUGUAUAUUUUAAAUUGCAGCUUUGAUGCAGACUGAAGGCAGAACAAAGGCUUGUGUGGGAUGCCUUUGUCACACUCUGCUUUAAUUAAGAUUAAUUGCGUACCUGGGAAGAGUCCUCUGGCAGUGUUUAGCCCGGACGCCGGCAGCUAAACACUGUCACACGGUGACGUUCAGCGGCCGGAGGAGGAGGGGGAGGACGCGAACACUGACGGCUCUUUUUGUUUUGACUUGCAGAGCUGAGACAGCAGUAAAUACAACUGUUUAUUGAUGUCGUGUUUAAUCUGGCAGCAACUCCGAGGCUCCGGGAACGCGCAGCACGCAUCAGUAUUUUGACGCAAUCGCACAUCUGAUGAAAAAACCUGCGGAAUCUGCCUGAGAAACAUCCUGUUUUUAUGAUUUACUGCACACUGUGCAUCAUUUUUAAAAGACAUACAAAAAACCAACAACACACGAUGACAGCAGUUCCUUAAAUACUCAGAAUAUUUAGCCACUGUGACAUUUUCAUUUGUACUUCUGGACACCAGUUUUUAUAUAAAAAUACAUCUUUUAGUUGGUUUGAGUUUAUGGAAAGAAAAAUUCCCACUUAUUUUAUAUGAUUUCUAUCAGACUGCUCUGAUUUCUACAGUUUCUACUUUUAGUUCAAAUUUUGAACCUGGAAUGGGUGACAGUGGUAUUUGACUAGGCAGGCAUAAAGACUACUUGGUAUGGGUUACGAUCAAUAAUAAUAAUAAUGAUGAUAAUAAUAACAAUAACAACAACUCAGGGUCACCUUACAACUCAAACCAACAAGAACAACAUUAAAAGACAUUUACAAUCCAGGAAUAAUAAGAAUGUAAACAUAAAGCUUUUGGCUGAUACGACUGUGACAAAGAGUCAAGCUGACGAAGGUGUAGUGGUAAUAAAUUACUGAUGCGGGCGCUAAAGGACAGAGUAUUGUUCAAGUUGAAGACUUUUGACACUGUGAGAAGUGUGGAACUGACAAAUAUCUAUAGAGACAACAGAAGGAUGCAUUUUAGAAAAUGAGUCCUCUGAACUAAUGAGGAUGAUGUGAGUUUUUUUGCCAUUGAGGUUGAGCUGACUGUCAUCAAAGUGAUGAUCGCCUGUAGGCAGGAGGCGAGAAUAGGACCGGAAGAGAAGGUCUGGAUUGUGUAGAAAAUAGAGUUGUGUGUCAUCUGCAUAAAAUAUAAUAGAAGAAAUAAAUUCAAAAAUUAAGCUAUUUCCUAGAAGAAGAAGAUAAAUUAUAAAUAGCAGUAAUGCCUGAAGGACACCGCUGAUGGGACGUGGACAGUAUAGCCCUGAACAAACGGUUUCCUGUACGAUGUGAACUGCUAAAGUGCUGUGUGCUCAAUUCCAGUGUUAGCCAACCAAAAGGUUUACCUCUUAAACACUCUUGUUUUGAGUACUAUAAAAUACUGGUUAAAGUCACAUAUUAAAAACUACUUGGUAAUGUUAAGAGAUGUUGUGUUAUACAGUUGCAUUUGUUGUCAUAUUUAACAUACGUCACCCACAUGUAACUCAUUGGUAACAAAAAUACAACAAAAUAUAGAAUGAAUGUCUUUGAGACCGUACUGAGACUCGCCUCGAGUCCACUCGUGUGCACACAUUCACUCUGUUAACAAGUCUUAAAUUCCUUAAAGCUUCAUGCAAACGUAAACCAACUGAAAAAUAGCAAGUGCAGGAAAUGAAAAAUAUUUUUUGACUGCUUUUGUUGCUUUUCUUUUCCACUUUAAGGAAAGUUGCGUUUCUGCCGGGCGAGCGCCGUCUCUGCAGCUCAUUUCCCACUGAGAAUAAACGGGCCGGCGAUGGAACAUUUCCCAUGAGUCCGUCUGUCUGUCACGGAUGAAGAGGGGCUCUAAGCAGCCCCGUCCCAUCUUAAUCUGUUCUGCAUGCUAAGCAGAGCCCCCCGCCCUCCCUCUUCAGAUUGUUAUAAAUGCUGUUUAUGGUCUUGCUAUGACAACUGUGAAGGGCACGGCGAGGAUUUAUCACGGGAUUAUCUCCUCAACCAAUGAAUAGACGGGACGGGUUGUAAAUGACCCUGCAGGGUAAUAAAAGAAGACGCUGCUCCUCUGGGACAAUAAGAGGAGGAGGUGAUGUUAUUAUUAAUAUUAAUAAUAACAUCAUGCACAGACAGAUCGGCUCACUUUAAUUCAGCCAUGUUUGUUUUAGUUUGUUGUUUACCUUUUAGUUUUUAUUGAUUUUAAAGAAAGCGUCCAUUCAUCUGUACGUUAUUUCAGGGUCACACGUUUAAACUCUGGGCUGCAUUUAGAGCAACUUCUUUAGAGCAUGCUCACGUGUACGGAAGACAAGAACUCCAAAAUACGAUUUUGUUAAUAAAGAUGCCAAAUUAGGAAAGUGCUUCAACAGACAAGAAAAGUAGAACAUUCAGUUUAAAAGAAAACAAACCAAGAGCCAAUGCAAACGGCCAACAUAGUUAUUGAAUACCAAUAAAACCAAUACAGCAGUUGUAACAGAGAUAAACAUAAAAUCAUGUCUGAAAAAUAUUAUUUUUAAAAAUAAAUAAUAUAUGAGUUAGUGCCUCGCAUUGUGUUUGGCUCAUUAUAUGAUCGUAUUCUUAAUGAAUCCUGCUGACAAGAGUUAAAUGAAUAAAAAUUUAC